GCUUAAAAAAAGGAGCAAGUAUCACUCUUCUUCGGACUCGGACUCCGCGUUCUUGAGCCAUUCGAUAAAAGGACUCACGUUCUUCAUCACCGGCGAGCUUUUGAUGCCUUUAUCGUACCAUCCAAAAAUGACAUCUUCCUCCAAAAGGUCUUCAUCAUAAAAACCCUUGAUAACAAGAGCGACUUCUUUAGCAGCCUCUGAAUUAGCUUUCUCGCAGAAAGAUUCUAUUGCGUUAAGCAAAACCAUCUGCCGAGGAGCUCCAUCAUCUUCUUGCAUCAUCAUCAACGCCACGAGAUAUUUCUUCUUCUUGAGAGUUUCUUUAGCGAAUCCCUUCCCUUGGCCAGCAAAAAGAGCAGAGAACAAGGCGUCCAUCCUCUCCUGAGGAGUGGCGGAGUUUGACGAUAUGGCGGUUCUGAGUUGGGAAGGAGUUGAACCGUUGUUAAGAAGCUCUUUUAUCUCACUCACAAGCUUUUCAUGAGCAUUUUCAGGGAUCUUGCCAUGGCCAUUCUCAUGUAGAUUCUUCAGUGGCUGCUGCACUUCAAGCGACUUCUUCUCCACAACUGCUGGCGUCUUCUCUUCCAUCGUAGUCAGCAUCACCAUAUCUGCUGUUGCAGCGCUGAGCUGUUCUUUCAUUCGUUUUUCAGCAGCCUCCCGCGAUGUAUCUGUUUGCCACUGGACAUCAUCAUCAUCAUCUUCUUCUUCUUCACUGUCCGCUUGCUCAUUUUCAUCAGACUGGCUUGGAGGUGGGGAAUGAUCUUUCUUCUUCAAAACUUUCUCUUUCGAACUACCAGCAGUUGAUUUCUUCUUAGAGGCAGCCUCCUUCUUAAGUUUCUUCAUCUCCUCAUCAGCCGCUUCACCUUCCUUCAGCCUUUCUUUCUCAGCUCUCCUCAUAGAUUUCUUGUCUUUCGAAGAUUUCUUUUGUUCUGGAGGAUGCUUCAGAAUAAAAGCAGUGAGUUUGUCCCUCAUAUCGACAUCCGAGAUAAACCCACAAGCCGCACAUUUCAGCUGGAGCAUCUGCGUCUUGGUGAUAAGUAUCUCGGUUUCGGGGUUUCCGCAUCCAUAACACUGGACAUACUUUUUGAUAAAGUUCUCAAGAAGCCCCGCAAGCUUGGAAGUGUCGUGGGCUCCGUUAACCAAUGAGGUUCCCGUCUUCUCAUCAAACUUGGACUGCGCACCCAGCUCACAGCCAAAGUACUUGGUGGUGUAAGCAGCAGGUCUCCCCAAGGCCUUGGCGAUUUCAACCAUGUUAACAACAUUAGUCUUGAUGCCGUUACCUCUACCUUCGAUCUUGGUCAUCAUCCUCGGCAUCUUGUACCUGUAGAAGGCAUCGUCACGGUUGGAGGCACCAAUGUUUUGUAAAGCCAUUUUGAUUUUGAUUACAAAAUAGUGUGGGGGUGGGGGGGAAUGUCAGAAGAGACAGAGAUACUGAACGCUGGAACUGCUUGUGUUGUUCAAGGCCUCGAAAGAAGAUCCAAGACGAGUGGACUUCUUCCUGGAAGUAGGACAGUACUCUCCUAAAAGCUGUAUAGACGAUUGAAAGAGAGAAGCCUGUUCAGACAUAAAAGAUUCUUCACACUCCACUUUCGACAAAAUGUAAAACCCCAGCAGCUUUAACUGCCAACUUCCUGUAAACACACAAUAAAGACAAAGAUUCAGCCGCAAAUGAAUAAACAAACAUACGGAUAUUUAUGCGUUUCAAUUAUAAACAACAAGGCACAGAGAUCUAACCGGAAAAUUCAUAAAUCUUGAAACACACAAACACACAAAAUUUCAAAGAAGCAAUAACAGGAAGGAAACAAAGAAAAGUUCCGAGAUUUACAAUAUAAAAAGACACUACAUCAUCAUCAAAUCAAAUACAUAUCAUCAACAUACACAAUUAAACAACGCCCCACCCUUGUCUCAAUGAAACAAUCAAUUUCUAACGAUUCCAAUAAAAAAAAUUCUUGAGAAUAACUAUGGGCCAUUCAAAUUGAAUCUCUAUACUCCAGAUUUUUCGGAUAACAAUCGGAUCAGAUUGUUUGAUUAAUCAAAUAUUAAGUUAAAUCGUAAUCGCAAAGUAGUAUCAGCAGCACACGAACCAAGUACCUCGUAAGAUGGACGAACGAAAAGCUACGAUUGUCUCUCGUGCGUUUGAGAGAGGAAGAUGAACGCUUGCGCCGAUGAAAGAAUGAGAAAAGGCACUUAAGCUAGAAACGUUUUCUGUGUAUUUAUAUAUAAAUGACAAAGGAAGGAGGCUGGAAACGCGUGAUUGUGGUUCAUCCUUUAGGGCAAACUCAUCGUGUCGUGUCCAAUUAUUUAUUUGUUCUCUUUCCACAAUUUUUUUUAUCUAUAUCCAUUUUUUUUUUUUUUCGUUUUCUAUUUCAAUUAAUUAUUUUACUGACCAAUAAUGAUCUACAAGAACGUCCAAUUCAGCAUUGAAAAUCAACUAAUUAACAAGAGUUUUAACGUACAUCUGUGUAGAUAUUUUCAAUAUUAUAUUUUGUUUUAUAUAUUAUGUAACUCUUUAAUUUUGUUGUUUUCUUAAAUUUUUAAUAUAUAGUGAUUGAUUUUAAUAAUUUGUUAUUAAUUAUUUAAAUUUUUGAAAUCGGUAUAAUAAAUACAUAAUUUGAAAAUAAUCAAAUAGAUUAUUUUAUUCAAAAUAUAUUUUUAAAACUAAAUUCUACAAUUUGCAUAAAAUUUAUUUAUUUAUAUUAUAGAAAGGAUAUUCAUUUAGGAUAAUUUAUUAUUUCAUAUUUUGUUUAUAAAAAAUAUUUUAACAUCUAUCAAUUCAAUAUACUAUGCGAAUUAUAAAUAACUAUAUUGUUCUGUUUAAAUAAUAUAACUCUAUUUUUUUAGUAAUUUUUAUACUUAGCAGCAUUUACGAGAAUACUUUAAAAAAAUUUAUCGAUAUAUAACAAUUUUUUGGAUGUUAUGGUAUUAAGUUUUCGGAUUCUUUGUUGGGUUUUUUUUUUACAACAAACAUUUACAAAUUCAUGUUGAUUCUGUAAACCAAAUUGGUAACCCCGCAUCCAUGUGAACGACGAAAGACGGUUGUUUUCUAGAAUUGCGUGCUAAGCUAUCCGCCCAUAGGUUGUCCGUCCGAGGUACAUAAACGAUGUAUGAGUUUGGGAAACUUCUUUUUAAAAGCUUAAUGUCUUCCAAGUAACUUUCAAAUGCUGACCAUUCUUCUAGUUCCGAAACCAUCUUCACCAAUUGAGAACAAAUUAAUGCCUCCACAUCUGAAUGAAGAGGUGAAAGACAAUGCCCUUACAUUCCUUGCCCCUAAUAAACCAUCAAAACCCGAUAAAGUACUAUACCAGCCUUGCACUGAAAAUAAAUCCAGAUCUUUCUAUGAACCAUCUAUGAAGCACCAUCGUUCCGAAGUCGGUAUUGUGGGUCCGGUUUGUACCUGAUGCUCUCUCGUUUGAUCCUUUACUACAUGUGCCUCAGUCCAAACUGUUGAUUCCAAUUCUGUUAUUUUAAGUGUGUCCCUUUGAUCAAUAUCCAGAUUGCUAAACACUUUGUUAUUCUGACCUUACCAUAUAUACCAUAAUAUCUAUGCAAAUUGGUGGUCAUCCAUCCUUGAAUUGACUCUCCAAAAAAGAUGAUCCAUGUUAGCGAAAAAAAACUAAUAGGAAAAAUAUUGGGAUUUGAUGGUAUCUUAGAUAAAACCCACACUUCAUGUGCUGGAGGAUAUUCAGAAAACACAUGGUUUAUUGAUUUUUCCUGAUCUCCGCAUCGAGCACAACAUAUAUCCUCUUAUAUUCCUCUCGCUUUUAGAUUUUUCAUUACCGCUAUACAUCCUGAAAGGAUUUGCCAUAAAAAAAUGUUUUAUCUUCGGAGGACACCGCACUUUUCAGCAUAAAUCUUUUAGUAUAUCCACUGUAAGACCAUUAAAUUAUAGUGGAUUUUUUUUUAUCAGGAUAGACCCGUUCCACUUGAUAACCUGAUUGAACCGAGUAUUUCUCAUUGUUAGUGAAAUGCCAUCAAUUCUUAUUUUCCAUCUGAUUUCUAUUUAAAGGGAUACUUUCAAUAAUUUUUACAUCAUGAGGAUCCACCAAAGUCUUGAUUGCCUGUAAAUUCCAUGAUCGGGAUUCCGAGUUAAUGAGAGAAUCCACUGUGAGGUCCGACUAACUGUUUGAAGGUUUUUGUUUGCUGGUCUCGGGCGAGUGGUUGGGAUCCAAGGAUCAUUUCAUACUGAAUAAGAUGAACAUGUUCCCACUCUUUUAAUUAGUCCUUUACAAACCAAAAAUCUUGCAGAAAUAAUACUCCUCCAGCCAUAUGACGGGGAGUAUGAACGGAUAGGUUCUAGGGGUGAAGCAUUCUUAUAGUACCGUCCUUUGAAGACUCUUGAAAAAGAGUAUUUGGCUUCUCAAUCAGCCUCCACAACUGCCUUCCAAGCAUCGUCGUGUUAAAAUCAAUAAGAUCCUUAAAGCCUAGUCUACAAUUAUCUUUAGGUAUGCAUAAUUUAUCCCAAUGCAUGCAUGUUGUGCUUCCUCCUGGACUCCACCGAAAUUGAGCUACUGCACUCGUUAACUUUUUAAUUGUAGCCUUUGCUAACCAAUAAACAGACAUCACAUGGUUUGGCAAGACCAUAAUCACCGAUUUAAUAAUCAACUCUUUUCCUCCUUUAGUAAAAAAUCAAAAAGUCCAUCCACUAACCUUAUUAUUCAAGCGGUCUUGUACAAAGCCAAACACCUUAGAUCAUUCAAGGCUUUCUGGUAAACCUAAAUAAGAUCCCAUUCCUCCUAUAUUCUGGAUUCCCAAAAUAUCUCUCAAUUUUUGAUGACUGGAUUCUUCAAUUUUAUGUCCAAAUUGAAUUGAAGAUUUCUGGGAAUUAAUUUGUUGCCCUAAGACGGUCUCAUAUUCCUUUAAAAUCCUGGGAAUGGUUUGACAUUCCUCCUUCUUUGGCUUACAAAAGAAAAAACUAUCAUCUGCAAAUAGCAAAUGAGAGAUUGUUGGACAAGCUCUUGCUACCUUCACACCAGUUAAUUAUUUCACUAUCUCCGCUUUCUUAAUAUUCAUAAUUAAUGCCUCAAUGCACAUAAUAGAUAAAUAAGGAGACAAAGGAUCCCCUUGAUGUAAGGGAUAUACAUUCCAGCAUUAAAUUGAUCCAACGAGGAUCCAAUCCCAUUUUAUGAAGAAGAGCCUCAAUAAAAAAUAUCCGUUUUGAUUGCCAUAAACUUGUUUUGACAAGACUUAUGUGUUCUCAGUCCAUGAAACAUUUCCUGCGCUAUAAAAAUAUUAUCCGAUAUUAACCUGCCCGCCACAAAAGCCGAUUGUGUCUCCGAGAUUAGUCGUGGUAGGCAAACUUUCAAUCUUUGACACAAAACUUUCGAGAAGAUCUUGUAACCAACAUUACAUAGACUUAUUGGCCUCAGUUAUGUCAUCCUUAUAAGUCUCUCUAUUUUCAGAAUCAAGCAAAUAUUAGAAAUAUUUAAACGUGGAUCCAUAUUUUCUCUAACCAGAAAAUUAUUCACCAUCUCAACCACAUCCUUCUUAAUAACAUGCAAGGAAUGCUGAAAAAAGAGAGUUGUCAUUCCAUCCGGACCUGGCGCUUUCUCCGGAUGCAUCAUGAAUAAAUCUUGUUGAACCUCUUCCUCCGUUGCUAUUCUUAAUAAUAUUUGAUUAUUUGUCAUUAAAUUAAGAUUUGAAAAUAUAAUAUUUUUUUUUUAAUUUUACAAAAUAAUUUAUUUUUAAUGUUGUAUUUUUAAAGAAUAUACUUUAGCAUCUAUGAUUUUAAGCUUUGUAUAAUUUGAAAUAUUAACUUUUGAGUUUAGAAUAUUUAUUUUCAAAUUGUGUAUUUUGUCAAGAAAAAAUUAGAAAACUACAAAACUAUAUUUUAGAAGAUUAUAUGACUUUUAAAUUUUUUUUUGUUACUACAUUUAUUCACUAUUUUAUAAAAACAUAUUUGAAUUUUUGUUAACAUUUUUAAUAUUUUAAUAAAAAUAAUCUGUUAUAAUUAAAAUAAACAUUAAAUUUUAAAUUAAAAUUUCAAAAUUUCUAAUAAAAUGUUUAGUAAAUAAAACAUCAAGUAAAGGUUAGUUACAUAUUAUAUUUUGUAUAUAAUAAUUUUGAGAUCAUAUAUUUUUACAGUUUCAAAAUAAAUAAGAAGCUAAUAUAUAGUUAUAGUUAUAAAAGUCUAACUUAUGCUAAUAAAUUUAUCUUUUGUAUAGAGAUAUUACAUCGUUUAAAAAAUUUAACCCGCUUUAAUGGUGAAUGAGAAUCUGUUUAAUGGAACUAUUAAAAAGGUUAAUUUACCAAUUUAAUAUAAUUUUUUAUAUUUAAUUCAUAUAACACAUUAUUUUAAUAUAAUAUAGACUAUAAUUAUAAAAUUUAUUAAAAUAUCAUAAAUAAUUAUUUGCUUUUAUAGUAAAAUUUUAAUUAAUAUUAAUUUAUAAUAAUAUUAUAAUACUAAUUACAAAGUUAAUUAAUAUAUUAUUUUAUUAAAAUUAUUUACAUUUUCGCAUGAUUUUGUUAGAUUUUCUCAACAGCUUUUGUUAUAACUAAAAAUAAAAUUUAAAUUUUUAAUAACAAUUAAUUAAUUAUUAAAAAAUUUUAGAAAUAUUAUAUAUUUGAUUGGUUAAUGUAAAUAAUAAUAUAUGUUAGAUGGGUCAUACGUGACAACUCUAGGGUGUAUAGAGGUGCUGUUUAAGCUACUGGGAAACAAGUUAAAAAUGCUUUGGAGUGUGAACUGCAUGCAGGCAAUAUUGACUGCUUUGCAACAUGCUUGGAGUAGUGAACACAUGAACGUUAUUGUCGAAAGUGAUUGUCAAAAAGCUAUUGAGAUAUUGAAUAAUAUGAAGUCACUACAAGAAAACAUAUUUUUUACAAGGGCAAUAUACGUUGUAAAUUCGUCGUAAACGGAGUGUUACGACGAAUUAACCUCGAAAGACGUUUCGUCGUAAAACUUCCGUCGUAACGGAGGUUUCGUCGUAAACAACUUGUUACGUUUACGACGAAAUAUAUUCCUCGUAAAGCGCAGGGCAUCGUUUCAUCGUAAAAGAGACGUAAUAUUCCGUGGUAAAGUCCACGUAACGGUUUCGAUGUAAAGCAGACGUAAAUAUUUUCGUUGUAAAGAACACGUAAACGUUUCGAUGUAAAACCCUCGUAAAUCUUUCGACAUUAAUCACUCGUAAACAUUUACAUGGAGUUUACAUCGAUUCUUAUUAAUAUAUAAUAAAUUUGAAUAAUUUUUUUAACCUCAAAUAUAAAUUUGAAUUUAUUUAAAAUUCAGAACUUAAAAUAAUUUUAAUUUUAAAACGAAAUAUGAAAAUAAAAACAUAUUUUAAAAAAGCAUUUAAAAGUCAUACAAUAAUAUUUAAAUUCAUAAUACAAACCGAAAUAUAAAAAAAACUACAUAUCAUCGAAGUAGUCGGUGGGGUUGCUCGGCUGUUGACGGGUUGGAUCGGACUCUUGGGGAUCUCGUACUAGCAACCCAAGAGCGGCGCGUCUCUCACUCAACAUUCUCUAAAUAACCGGGUUUCCCACGGCCAUCACGUCUAGCAAAUCCUCAAGAGAGUCUAAACAACCUGCUGGCUAUCCAUUCGAGCUUUCAUCUGAGAAGUCUCUUCAUCCCGUCUCGAAGUGUAUGACGAAGUUGCCCUUGCAACUUCGUUAACAGAGCCUAUACCGACUAUCCGUCCCUUCUCUUUAGGAGCCACCUAUAAAAUUAAAACAUAUAUUAAUAUAGUUAAUUAUGUUAAAAUAUUAAAAAUAAUGUAAACAAAAAUUUUAAGUUGUACCUCUUCGAAGAUUCUGUCGGCGUCUUCGGUGGACAAUGUGACGGGUAAUCCAUCGGGAGACUCUUGGGUUAGUUGCGUCUCCCGUUCUUCAAUCCGAGAAGCCAUUGCUUGGAAGAGUUUCUCAGAUGCAGGAUCCACAAAAACUCCGUCGGAUGUGGCGUGAGUCAUCUUCAAUAGGUCAGACAGAGAUGGUAAGACUCCCGUCUUCUCAAACUACAAAAAAAAAUUAAAUUAAAUAUUAAAAAUUAAAUUAAUUGAAAAUUUUAAAAUAAAUAUUUAAAACAAAAUUUACAGCUUCUAGACGGAUUCCUGCAUGAGGUUUUUGUCCUGUUCUGUGAAUCAUGGGCAAAUGACCAUCUUUAUCCUUCAUUCUUCGAGAAACCGAGCACGAAUUGGCCUUUUCGAUCAAAGAGGGGUGCUUCCAAUAGGCGAUGAGGCCAUCCCACACAUCCUUCGUGAGCUCAGUGGGCUUUCCCUCAUACCCGUAGAUCUCCCACUUGUCCUUCCAAUCGGAGACUGUGUUGCAGAGGCGGAUCUUUGUCUUUGCAACGAAUUCCGCCUUCACCCUCUCAGUGAUUCCCAAAGACCAAUGCCACUUUUGCUGAAACACAAAAUUUUGAAGAAAUUAUAAUUAAUAAUAAAUAUUUAAAAAAUAUAUAUAUAUUUAAAAGUGGAAAUUUAAUUAAAUUUAAAAAUCUUACCGCAAAACAUUUAAACCAAGUGAUCUUAACGUGAUUUAGUGUCUUGCUCCAGUUCGGAUAUGCCCCAUCGUAAUAACCCUUAAUCGUCUUCGAAACGCUCUGGCUAACACGGUUGUUAGCCCCAAACCUGAAAAAAAACAAUAUAACCGUUAGAAAAUAAAAAUAAUUUAAAUUUUAAUGUAAUAAAAAUUAAUAACUUACCAAUAAGUUCCUCGGGGUCUAUCGGGGUCUAGAACAUCCAAACCCUCCCCACCAGGCUGGACAAGCAAAUCCUCCACCGUAUAUCUCGCGAAUGGGGCAUAUGAAGGCACACGCAAAUCCGGAUGAACUGCACCUUCUGGGACAGGCUGAGGUGCAGCCGCUGGAGGAGGAGGUGGAGGCAUCUGCGGUGGAGGAGGAGGACUCCAAGCAACUCUCUGAGAAGGCUGAGAGUCUGGAACUGCAUCGGAAGACGAUGGACCGGAAGAAGAUGUACCGGAACCAUCGCCAAACAACUGCACAUAAGUAGGUGCUGCUGAUUUCCUCCUAGGAGCCAUCUAAAAAAAUUAAAAUAAAUUUAAUCAAUUACGACAUAAUUAAAAAAUUAUUCCGUUACCUAACUAAUCACCUAAACUAGUAUUCCGUCACCUAACUAAUCACCUAACUAAUUACCUAACUAAUCACCUAAACUAAUUACCUAACUAAUUAAUCACCUAAACUAACUUUAAAAAAAAAAAAAAAGAGAGAAGAAAGUUUACCUUAGAGGGAGAGCAAAGGAGUUUGGGAGGAAUGAACGAGGUAGCCUAGCUCUCGGCGUCUCAAUAUAUAGAUAACGAUUCGUCGUAAACGCGACGUAAUAUUACGACGAAGUUACCAGGCCCGCGUUUUUCCAUUUACGACGAAGCUACCAGGCCCGUGUUUUUCCAUUUACGAACGAAAUUACCAGGCCCGUGUUUUUCUGUUUACGACGAAAUUACGUUGAAUAGGUUUACCAAGCUUUUCCAUUUACGACGAAGUUACCAGGGCCGCGUUUUUUUUCAUUUACGACGAAUUUACCAGGCCCGUCUUUUUCCAUUUACGACGAAAUUACCACGCCCGUGUUUUUCGGUUUACGACGAAAUUACGUUGAAUAGGUUUACCAGCUAUUGUUGUAGUUGUUUCUAAAAAUGCAUCACUAAUAAUAUCUUGAACCCUAUCAUGAUUUACCAUCUGCUCCUCUUGAUGAUAAUUAUAUUCAUUAUGCACAUGAUUCGGUUCUUCAUUAUGAUGAGCAUCCUCAAAAUUAUUAUUACUACUACUAGCUUUAUUUCCCCCAUAACCCUCUCCAUGUUGAUACCAAAUGUAGUACUGUGGUGUAAAUCCUCUGUUUACUAAAUGAUUCCAUACAGUUUCACUACGUGCAAAUUUUGAAUUCUUACAUUUUUGACAGGGCAUAACAUCUUACCGCUUUCCUGCGUGAUCGGUGUACCCGCCUGGUGCAUGAAUGUCUCUAGCCCGUUCAGAAAUGCGUUCGUCACCCUCGCAUCGGAAUCUUUGUGCAAAUACAUCAAACUCCGUAACUCGUAAAUAUUACCACCACCGGCCAUUUUUUUCUUAGAUUUUUUUUUGAAAAUUUUUUUUUGCUGAUUUUUUUUUCCGUUUGUGUGUUGUGAGGAAGAGAGUUGUGGGAAAAUGACAUUAUAUAUAGAGAAUUUUUGAGUUGGGUAAUUGAAAUAUAACAACGAUUUUAAAAGGAAUGUUUUACAUGGAUUUUACAUGAUUUUAACAUAAUAUUUACAACGACUUUACAACGAAUUUAAGUAAGUAAAAGCACAUUAAAUACACGUUUUCACCUAAAUAUAACGGUAACAUGAUUUGUUGUAAUGUCGAUGUAACGUUUACGACUAUUUUCGCUUUCCACGUACUUUCGUCAUAAACUUACAUGGACUUUACGACGAAACAGUUUCAUCGUAAAAGUUCCAUGGAGUUUACGACGAAUUUUGGUCUCGUCGUAAUUGCGUUGUAAACACCUUGCAAAUUUUCGAGGAAUUAUUUUCGUUGUAAAUCUUCGUUGUUACUGAUACGUUUUCUUGUAGUGAGUUGCAUUUUGAUGUAUACAUUGGAAAAGAGAAAUUCUGGGUGGAAGACGCGGUUAGAAAAAGUAUAGUUUCAAUGGAUCAACUGUACAUCGAAUAAUCCUGCAGAUAAACUGGCGAAAGAGAGAAUACAAGACUCUAAGUUGUUCUUGUUUCAUAAUUAUUUUCCAAUGUUUAUUAAUGAAGUACAUUCGGGGUUAAUAAAUAAAAUGAAGUGUUAUAAAAAAAAAAUAAUAUAUGUUUCUUGAGGACAAAGUACCCAGGUGAAGAGGACGGUUACAGUUUGAUAAAACAUGGACUGAACAUGAUGGUUUACUAGACUCCAUUAGUAAAGGCUGGGAUGAAUCAGGAGAAGGAAAUAAUGCAAAUUUUGUCACAAAACUUAUUAAUUACCGUCAUGAAAUUUAUAGAUGGAGAAAAAACAAUCUCUUUAUGUGAAAGAGAGGAUCAAUGAACUACAAAGGAUAUUGGAAGAAGUCCAACGAAUGACAAUAUAACUCAAGAGAAAAUUGUGGAUGUCAUAAAAAAGCUACAAGAAGUGUACAAAGAUGAGGAACAAUAGUGGGACCUGAAGAGUCAGAACAUGUGGUACGCGUCAAGGGAUCUUAACACCAGAUUUUAUCAUAUUGAAACAACAGCAAUCUAAAAGUAGAACUGUGAGUUUACAUGAUGAAGGUGGACCGUGGAUAACAAAGGAUAAAGACGUUGAAAAAGUAGUAGUGGAAUAUUUAAAGAUUUAUUCAGCUCCAUAUUAUCCUCAAAGUUUGAAAAUUUUCAAAUGUGAUCCGACCAAGCAUUACUUCUUAGAUAAACCAUGUGCUGAUUAGGAAUGUGACAUAUGAUGAAAUAAGAAAAACAUUAUUCUUGAUGCAGUCAGAGAAACACACCAGUCCAGACGGCAUGACACGCUUUUCUUUCAGCAACUCAUGGCCUAUCAUAAAAAUGAAUUGUCUUGAUCUGGUGAAUAUUUUUUUGAGAAAAGGAAAAUUGAAUGCUAGGUUGAACAUUACAAAUAUAUAUUUGAUUCCAAAAACACAGAGACCUACCAAAAUGACAAAACUGCGACUGAUAAGUCUAUGUAAUAUAAGAUAUAAAAUCAUUUCCAAGGUAUUGUGUCAAAGGUUAAAGUGAUGUCUUCCAAUACUUAUAUCGGAAACACAAUCAAUUUUCAUGGCAGGAUGAUUGAUCUCGGGCAACGUAAUGAAAUCUUUCAUGGUAUACGAACCAAUAAAUCUUGCCAAAGCAAGUUCAUGACAAUCAAAACAUAUAUGAGUAAAGCGUAUGAGAACUUCCCUAUGCAGUCGAUUUUUGCAAAUGUGGACUACUUGUUCUAGAGGACUACACCACAUGUGGAUAAUCAUCAUUUCACAUGGAUUUUAUGGCAAUAAUAUGGUUUUUCAGCAUCAUACAUGUCAACCCUAGAGAUACUCUUCAAUUGGUAGAAUCAGAAUCAACACUUUGGAAUGAGGCACAUGCAGCACUAAAACAAACGGCCACCCAACCUAGAGAGGAGGAAUUGUCAAUCUUACCUCAAAUAUCAGGUCGAUUGUGUUUCACGAAUAGUUCAUGGAAGAUACGAAUAAUCACUAGGACAAAAUGGUAUAAACACAUUAUACAAAUUUCUGUCCAUUUAAUCCAAGCUAGGUUGAUGGAAUGGGCGAUGGUCCAAAAAACGGUAGGAGGAAUGGAAGAGGUCGAAUAAUGAAUUUAUGUCCCUUUAAUCCAAGCUAUCCUGAAAUAAAAGAAGAACAACGAGUUUAUGAAUGAUAAAAUAAGAACACAAACUAAAAGAUAUAAAGGAUGGAAUGGUUAAUGGAUAGAUGUUUGAUGAUCGAUGAUGGAGAUGGUAUGGAUAGAUGAUUGACUGUCUCCAUAUGUGGUAUUGAUUGACUCUAUCAAUCUGUGAUAUCAAGGCUGAUGAAUAUCUCAAGCAACCUAUAGAACCACGAGCUCAGUAGACUACUAAUGCUUCUCACACUUAAGAGUCUAAAGAACACUUAAAGAACACUCUUUGAAAAGACAAGGUUUUUGCAUACUAAUUUUAUUGAUUGAAAGGUGGUUUGUACAGUCGAAAAUGAGCUUAUAUAUUGCUCAGAAAUCUAAGUCUAACGACCAUAAAGAGAAAAUAAAGAAAACAAUCAAAAACUAAGCAAGACAUCGAAAACUAGCCAUUAGAGCAUGUUGUAGGAUUUGGCUCUAAGUAAAUGAUAUACCUUGGAUUUGACUCGUUUUCAUCCAUGGUAUAUAGGUGUUUUACUAUAUAUAUAUCUAUGUUUUCUACUCUUCUAGGUAUGUUUUCAAGUUCAGGUGCAUUUCGGAGUAAAGCUAUGACUUUGGAGCAUUUUGGAGCUUAAAGGACAUUUCACCCGAGCUGACCAUGUAGAGGUCGACGAGAGGAAGAGAUAAUCGAUCGAUGCGCAUCAGUGCUGUCGAUCGACACCAAGAGAUGCCUCGACAGAUGAAGAUUAAUAUCGAUCGAUGUACACAAGUACCAUCGAUCGAUGUCGAGACAUUGGACACGCGACAUUUUGGAUCCAUCGGACUUAAAACCCAAGGCCAAGCCAAAUUAAGAAAAUGCCCUGACGAGUUUUUAACCUAGUAGAUUCUAUACUGCCUAAGUGUUUUGACGGCAGAGGAGAGCUUUUGUUACAGUUUUACUUUGAGAGAGAAGAGAGAGUUUUGGAGAGAAGAUCACUUUUGAUUGGAACUCCUUGUUUUCAUUUCUUUUCAUCUAUACUAUGAAUUUCCAUUUCUUUAUUGUUAUUAAUUGCUUUGCUAUGUCUCAGUAGUUCAUUUAUUAGAUCUAGGGUUCAUAUAGGUUUGUGGGAUUAGCCCUAAAUUAUAGAUCUGCCUUGUUGUGAUAUUCAUGAUAGAUUUAUAUUCAUUGCUUGUUUUAGCCUUGCUAACUAGAACUUGAUCAUAGGAUUGCAUACUCAAGCACCCUUGUUAUCCCAUCCUGACAUCAUCUAUCAUAUUAGGACUGCUAGAGAGGGCUAACCGCCAAUUUAGUAUCUUAAUAGGGCAUAUCAUACUCGCGCAUAGGCCUUGGUUAGAAUCCGUCGAUCGAUGUCCUCAACUGACUAUCGGUCGACGUAGGCAAAGGUGUAUCGGUUGACAUCCCAAUAGGACCAUCGUUUGACACUCUCUUGUGUCAACAUACUAACCGUUGAGACACGAGAUCUAGCUUGUUAACCAGUGAAACAUGCGACUGCUGAUCACUGAGUUAAGCGGUUGAGCUCUAACAUAUCAUGCAUGCAACAAUUAGGCAUCUAUAGGUAUUAUAAUCUCCAACACCUGAAUAGUGGCCCUGCNNNNNNNNNNNNNNNNNNNNNNNNNNNNNNNNNNNNNNNNNNNNNNNNNNNNNNNNNNNNNNNNNNNNNNNNNNNNNNNNNNNNNNNNNNNNNNNNNNNNACAGACGAGAUCAUCUAAAGAAAACAGCAAGAGAGAAAGAUGACCACAGCUGAUUACGUGAAGACAGCUUAGCCACUGUCCUCGUACCUUAUUCCAGACACACACUGAAACCAGACAAACGCAGACAGAAACCAAAUUUUAAACCAGGCUUAAAAAAAGGAGCAAGUAUCACUCUUCUUCGGACUCGGACUCCGCGUUCUUGAGCCAUUCGAUAAAAGGACUCACGUUCUUCAUCACCGGCGAGCUUUUGAUGCCUUUAUCGUACCAUCCAAAAUGACAUCUUCCUCCAAAAGGUCUUCAUCAUAAAAACCCUUGAUAACAAGAGCGACUUCUUUAGCAGCCUCUGAAUUAGCUUUCUCGCAGAAAGAUUCUAUUGCGUUAAGCAAAACCAUCUGCCGAGGAGCUCCAUCAUCUUCUUGCAUCAUCAUCAACGCCACGAGAUAUUUCUUCUUCUUGAGAG
rnacentral:lncRNA from 1 species